CCUUCAGAGCAGGUGGUGACUGCUCCUUGGGGAGCAAGGAGGAGGCCCAGGCCGCGCGGCCAUGCUCGGGCGCGCAUCACCCGAAGGUCAAGAACUGGAACACUGCCAGCACCCCAGAAGUCCCCCGGUGACCUUCCUGAACACAACUCUUUCCCUCCCUUUUAGAGUUCUUUCUUUAGAGGCAGUGAUAUUAUAAGACUAGAGGAAGACCCAGAGAAAUUAAAUGACUUACCCAGGGUCAGAAGAGCAAGUAAAAAGGAAGCCUGGACUUGGCCCCAAGUCUUCAAAGUAGAGUAUGCUCUCUAUUAUAUCACACUGGCCCUCAGCCUCCUGGAGCAGUAAGGCUACCACAACCUCUGCUUAACUCGACCAGAAUCUGCAUCUGAUUUUCGUUACCAAAACCCUUUCACUAGGAGUCCUUUGCACCAGAACCCACCACCACUGCAGCCUGCCACCACAGUAUGUACUUAGCUGAUUCCAAAGGAAGGAAAAGACAUACUUGACGAGAGCCUAGAAUGUGCAGUUAUUUCAUUUAAUCUUCACAAAACCUUGCAAAGUAGGUGCAAGAUGCCCUCAUUCCUUUUUCCUCUUCCCUGGCCACAAAGGAAGACUGUGUUUCUAGGCCUCCCUUGCAGUUAGGCUGGAGCCCAGUUAUUAGUCUGUCCAGCAGAAUGUGGGCAGGAGUAAUGUGUGUCAUGCCCAGGCUUGAUCCCUAAAGUUUCCCAUGAGAUAAUCAGCUCUUCUGUCUACAGGCUUAGAAGCAAAGGAUGUGCAGAUAUUGGAUCACAUGCUAGAAGGAGUCCAGAUUCCUUAAUUGCUGCUUGGAGAAGUGCUAUCUGACUUAAAUCAAACAGUGAACAGAGCAAAACAUAUAAAGUUAUGUUAAGUUGCUGAGUUUAAUAUAAACAAGUCUGCAUUUAAAACAUAAAGAAUGGUAAUAUUCUAAUCUAGUGAGGUUAACUGAUAUAAGUAAGCUUUUGUGACCUGACAAGAAAAUGCAACCCCCUUUUGUUAUAUUUUUAUAGAAAUAUGAGUUCUGAGUUCCAAUUCAAGCUAUAAAAGGACAUUUAGGGAAAAGAAAACAACAAUCCUAGGGACUGACUCUUCUGUGAAAGAAUCACAUGGUAUAACAUCAGCACCCUCCAGAUAUUUGUUGAAGGCUUCCUUGUCAACCAAUAGGCUUCCACUUCAAGGAUGAGAAGAUAUCCUUAGGUUCUCCAGCCUGUCGUUGCAGGAUUGACAUUUCUUUCAAUAACCAAACAAAAUGUUAUGACCUACCAUCUUACAUGUUAUGAAAAGUUCAGAGCCAGCUCUCUCCACUGUGGCUGGUGUCCUCAAAUUAUUUCAGUGCCUUGCCCCUCACUGGACACGAGCAUUUCAUCAACAUAAGACAGUUCUAUGGAGCAGACUUUUAGGUUGAGGGGUAACAAAUGGUUAUUACAGUAUAAGAACCAUCUUACAACACAGGAAACAAUUUCAAAAUUGAUGUCAGAUAUAACUUUUCCUAAAACUGUUGGUCAGUUGCAACCUUAGGGAAUUUCUCACUGAUUAUGUCUUUCCUUAGGUCUCUUCCAGUCACCCUGGAUUUGCUACUCUAACCCCACAUCCCCUUCACAUCUCUCCAGAACAGUCUCUUUAAAUACAAGAUUCCUUUUACUUUAUUACAAGCAAUUCAACCAUCUUGGAUCUCCACCUUUGAUUUAAAAAGCCCAUCAAACUCGUUGUUAAUAAUUUAUACAGAUGCAAAUAACAGAAAACCCAACUGGCAUAAACAUGUAGAGAGUUUGCUGUUUCUCUUAAUAAAAAAUCCACUGGUAGGGAGUUCAAGAUUGGCACAGCAGCUCAGUAAUGCCAUGAAGUACCCAGGCUGUUUUUCUUUCCUUGCCAUCCUCAUUGCCAUCCAUGUCAUGCUGACUUUUAUCAUCAAGCCUGUUGUUUAAUGAGUCACAAAUAGGCUGCUGUUUCUCAGGAGCUACAGCCAAAUUGCAGACUGGAAGGAAGGAGAACGGGUGGUGCCUGUAUGAGGGAAAGCCGAUUCUUCUCCCAACAUUUCCAGCACAUUUCCGUUUAGGUCUAAUUGAUAGAGUGGUGCCUUGGGGCACACCUAGAUCUAAAGAAGGCUGAGUAGUAUUUUAGCUGGGCAUUGUUGCCCAACAAGAGGUUGGAUUUCUAUAACUAAGGAAAGCGAGAAGAAUAGACAAGGAGUAGGGAAUUAGCAGUGUCUGACACACUUUGUCUUAGUCUGUUCUGACUGCUAUAAAAAAUUACCAUAGACUAGGUGGCUUAUAAGUAACAGAAAUUUAUUCCCCGCAGUUCUGGAGGCUGGAAAUCUGAGAUCAGGAUGCCAGCAUGGUGGGGAGAGGGCCUUCUUCCAGGUUGCAGACUGCUGACUUCUUGCAUCCUCACAUGAUGGAGAGUAGAGGGCAGCAACCUCUCCUAACUCUUAAAAGGGCACUGAUCCCAUUCAUGAGGCUCCUCCUUCGUGACCUCAUCUACUCCUAAUCACCUCCCAAAGGCCUCACCUCUUGGGACCAUCCCAAGGGGGGAAGGAGAGGAGGGUGGCAGGGCAGAAUAGGAUUUCAACAUAUGAACAUUCAGUCCAUAGCUCCCUUAAAGAUGUUUUUCAUAAAAAGACCAUCUACCCCAGAGAUGAAAUGCCAAGGUCUAAACCCCAGAAAGAGCUACCGUGGUUUUUGUUUUAAAUGGCAAUUUCCCCAAUGCUUGGCAUACAAACAUCAGUAAUAUGUAAAAUUUUCUUUUUGGCUUCUUGUAGUUUAAAAAUGCCAGCAAUAUAGUUU